GAUGAGGUCAAAGCAACUGUCAAAAAGCGCAGGAACCAUAAAUCAUCAGCACUGCCUCCUCAGGGAAUUGAUUAAAGGAGUGGGCCCAGUUAAGGAAACAAUGUGCAAACUCCACCAGAAAGAUAUGGGAAAGAACUAGGCCACAGGCAACGAUUUACGAUCAAAAGGGCCAGAGAUACCACACAUGUGUGCAGGUUACAGAACAAUUAACCCUGUCUGCUCUUCAACUUUGGUAAAAGACUGAAGAACCUCUCCAAAGAAGAGUGAGAGACCUUCAGGCUGAGUAAAAUAAGCACACAGCCUGUGCCAAUGUGUGGGACAGAGACAAAGACGCCCAGGAAAAGUACUGCCUGAUGGACCAAUAAGAUGCGAUACUGGCCUCUCCCAUGGCUACCAAACUGGAAACUUCACAGGAAAUUGUCCUUUCGGGAUGCCUGAAGAAACAGGAGUAUAGAACUCUUGGCACAGUUGGAGUGGUUCUACACUGAAACCAACACAAAGCAGAUUCUACAUACAUUUCUCAUGAUUUCAACCACAGUCAUUGGAUAGGAGAAAAAAUUUGAACCAGCGAUCGAAAGAAAAAGAGGAAGAAUAAAGAACACCAAGAGAUGUUGACGAACACUGACUGGAUGAUCUUUGGAACAAUGAGCAACUAUUGUUUAAAGCCUCCUUGCUGGCCAGCUGCAUUCCUGGAGGUUUCAUCACGUGACCAACCACCUUCCUACCAUUGGUCAAUCCUCCAGAAGCACUGCCUUCCCGCGAUCAUUUGGAAAGGUGAGAGACUCUGUGUUGUCCAAUUGGAUUCAUCGGUACCAUGAGUGGAAGUGAUUUGUUUUCAAGUCACCUCCAAUUCUUUCAGAAUUCAUCAUUGAAAACAUGAAGAAA